rnacentral:tRNA from 1 species
GGUAAGGUGGCUGAAUCUAAGCGUAGGGUUGUAGCCCCUAGAAUGAAGGUUUAAAUCCUUUUCUUAUCA